rnacentral:rRNA from 1 species
AACAGGAUUAGAUACCCUGGUAGUCCACGCCGUAAACGAUGAGUGCUAGGUGUUGGGGGUUUCCGCCCUCUGUGCCGAAGGUAACCCAAUAAGCACUCCGCCUGGGGAGUACGGCCGCAAGGCUGAAACUCAAAGGAAUUGACGGGGGCCCGCACAAGCGGUGGAGCAUGUGGUUUAAUUCGAAGCAACGCGAAGAACCUUACCAGGUCUUGACAUCCCGCUGAUCGGUGUAGAGAUAUGCCUUUCCUUCGGGACAGCGGUGACAGGUGGUGCAUGGUUGUCGUCAGCUCGUGUCGUGAGAUGUUGGGUUCAGUCCCGCAACGAGCGCAACCCUUGUCGUCAGUUGCCAGCACGUAGAGGUGGGCACUCUGGCGAGACGGCCGGUGAAAGCCGGAGGAAGGUGGGGAUGACGUCAAAUCAUUAUGCCCCUUAUGUCCUGGGCUACACACGUGCUACAAUGGCCGGUACAACGGGUAGCGAACCCGCGAGGGGGAGCCAAUCCAAAAAACCGGUCUCAGUUCGGAUCGCAGGCUGCAACUCGCCUGCGUGAAGCUGGAAUCGCUAGUAAUCGCGGAUCAGCAUGCCGCGGUGAAUCCGUUCCCGGGCCUUGUACACACCGCCCGUCACACCACGAGAGUCUGCAACACCCGAAGUCGGUGAGGUAACCUUCGGGAACCAGCCGCCGAAGGUGGGGCAGAUGAUUGGGGUGAAGUCGUAACAAGGUAACC